UUUGGGGCUGCGGAGGGAUCAUUACACAAAUAUGAAGGCGGGCUGGAACCUCUCGGGGUUACAGCCUUGCUGAAUUAUUCACCCUUGUCUUUUGCGUACUUCUUGUUUCCUUGGUGGGUUCGCCCACCACUAGGACAAACAUAAACCUUUUGUAAUUGCAAUCAGCGUCAGUAACAAAUUAAUAAUUACAACUUUCAACAACGGAUCUCUUGGUUCUGGCAUCGAUGAAGAACGCAGCGAAAUGCGAUAAGUAGUGUGAAUUGCAGAAUUCAGUGAAUCAUCGAAUCUUUGAACGCACAUUGCGCCCUUUGGUAUUCCAAAGGGCAUGCCUGUUCGAGCGUCAUUUGUACCCUCAAGCUUUGCUUGGUGUUGGGCGUCUUGUCUCUAGCUUUGCUGGAGACUCGCCUUAAAGUAAUUGGCAGCCGGCCUACUGGUUUCGGAGCGCAGCACAAGUCGCACUCUCUAUCAGCAAAGGUCUAGCAUCCAUUAAGCCUUUUUUUCAACUUUUGACCUCGGAUCAGGUAGGGAUACCCGCUGAACUUA
rnacentral:rRNA from 1 species